rnacentral:tRNA from 1 species
GCGGGUAUCGUAUAACGGUAUUAUGCUACCUUGCCAAGGUAGAGAAACGGGUUCAAUUCCCGUUACCCGCU